GGUUCUCAACCAGAUUAAUCAAGAAUGCAGAGGAUCUUAUCAUUAAAGAGGGACCAGAAACAAUUGGUGCUUUUAUCGCUGAACCAGUCAUGGUUGCUGUUCGUGUGAUACCUCCACCUGCUACGUAAUUCGAAAAGGUCCAAGCUGUUGUUUGCAGUAUGAUAUCCUGCUCAUUGCUGUUGAAUGAAUACACCAUCAAGCCAGAUCUUCGGUCCUUAGCUAAGGCACCGUCUCCAGCACAUAUGCCGAUGGAGCCAUUCUUAUGAGUCAAAAAGUAGCAGAUGUCAUGUAUUCUCAAAGCAACAAGCUAGGUGAUUUCUCGCAUGGAUUUACUUAUUCUGCUCAUCCAUUUUCAUGUGCUAUAGCGAUUGAAGCGUUAAAGACAUACAAGAAACACUUCAUAUGAAUUACUUGAGCAGCUAAGCGUUGUGUGGUUUCUUGAGUACGCCCUCCGGCACUGUAACAUGUGGUUCCGUAACUGAGCUCUCGCCACAGUAGCUUCUGUUGAUGUCGUGAUAUCAUUCAGUGGAGGCAAAUACUGGGCCUGCACCACAGGUGGUGUUAGUGUGAGUUGUAGAUAGCUUCUCACCAUCAGAGCACAUGCAUGACACACAUGUAAAUCCAUGCAUAUCAUCUUCUGGGUUGUUGUUCCCGUCCUGUCAACACAGAUUAGACUAUGUCACACUAACUCUCUACUAAAAAGUUUUUGUCAGCUAGGAGUAUAGGAUGGUUUUCAUGUGAGUUGAAAGUUGCAGUUGGGGG